GACGAACGCUGGCGGCGUGCUUAACACAUGCAAGUCGAACAAUGAACCCGGAGCUUGCUCCGGCGGAUUAGUGGCGAACGGGUGAGUAACACGUGAGUAACCUGCCCUUGACUCUGGGAUAACUGCUGGAAAUGGUAGCUAAUACCGGAUACGACCCUCGGUGGCAUCACCAGGGGGUGGAAAGAAUUUCGGUCAAGGAUGGACUCGCGGCCUAUCAGCUAGUUGGUGAGGUAACGGCUCACCAAGGCGACGACGGGUAGCCGGCCUGAGAGGGUGACCGGCCACACUGGGACUGAGACACGGCCCAGACUCCUACGGGAGGCAGCAGUGGGGAAUAUUGCACAAUGGGCGCAAGCCUGAUGCAGCAACGCCGCGUGAGGGAUGACGGCCUUCGGGUUGUAAACCUCUUUCAGCACAGACGAAGCGCAAGUGACGGUAUGUGCAGAAGAAGGACCGGCCAACUACGUGCCAGCAGCCGCAGUAA
rnacentral:rRNA from 1 species